rnacentral:rRNA from 1 species
GACGAACGCUGGCGGCGUGCUUAACACAUGCAAGUCGAACGGCAAGGCCCUGCUUUUGUGGGGUGCUCGAGUGGCGAACGGGUGAGUAACACGUGAGUAACCUGCCCUUGACUUUGGGAUAACUUCAGGAAACUGGGGCUAAUACCGGAUAGGAGCUCCUGCUGCAUGGUGGGGGUUGGAAAGUUUCGGCGGGUGGGGAUGGACUCGCGGCUUAUCAGCUUGUUGGUGGGGUAGUGGCUUACCAAGGCUUUGACGGGUAGCCGGCCUGGGAGGGUGACCGGCCACAUUGGGACUGAGAUACGGACCAGACUCCUACGGGAGGCAGCAGUGGGGAAUAUUGCACAAUGGGCGGAAGCCUGAUGCAGCAACGCCGCGUGCGGGAUGACGGCCUUCGGGUUGUAAACCGCUUUCGCCUGUGACGAAGCGUGAGUGACGGUAAUGGGUAAAGAAGCACCGGCUAACUACGUG